AUUGAACGCUGGCGGCAGGCCUAACACAUGCAAGUCGAGCGAGCGGCGGACGGGUGAGUAAUGUCUGGGAAACUGCCUGAUGGAGGGGGAUAACUACUGGAAACGGUAGCUAAUACCGCAUACCAUCAGAUGUGCCCAGAUGGGAUUAGCUAGUAGGUGGGGUAAUGGCUCACCUAGGCGACGAUCCCUAGCUGGUCUGAGGGGAUGACCAGCCACACGGGAACGGGGAAAGGGUCAAGCCUCCUACGGGAGGCAGCAGUGGGGAAAAUUGAACAAUGGGCGAAAGCCUGAUGCAGCCAGGCCGCGUGUGUGAAGAAGGCCUUCGGGUUGUAAAGCACUUUCAGCGGGGAGGCGUUACCCGCAGAAGAAGCACCGGCUAACUCCGUGCCAGCAGCCGCGGUAAUU
rnacentral:rRNA from 1 species